rnacentral:rRNA from 1 species
GACGAACGCUGGCGGCGUGCUUAACACAUGCAAGUCGAACGGAAAGGCCCUGCAUUUGUGGGGUGCUCGAGUGGCGAACGGGUGAGUAACACGUGAGUAACCUGCCCUUGACUUUGGGAUAACUUCAGGGAACUGGGGCUAAUACCGGAUAGGAGCUCCUGCUGCAUGGUGGGGGUUGGAAAGUUUAGGCGGUUGGGGAUGGACUCGCGGCUUAUCAGCUUGUUGGUGGGGUAGUGGCUUACCAAGGCUUUGACGGGUAGCCGGCCUGAGAGGGUGACCGGCUACAGUGGGACUGAGACACGGACCAGACUCCUACGGCAGGCAGCAGUGGGGAAUAUGGCACAAUGGGCGGAAGCCUGAUGCAGAAACGCCGCGUGCGGGAUAACGGCCUUCGGGUUGUAAACCGAUUUCGCCUGUGACGAAGCGUGAGUGACGGUAAUGGGUAAAGAAGCACCGGCUAACUACGUG